AGGAUAAUAGUUUAAAAAACAUUUAAUUUGCAAUUAAAAAUUAUCAAUUAUUGAUUUAUCUUA
rnacentral:tRNA from 1 species